rnacentral:rRNA from 1 species
UCCAGACUCUACGGGAGGCAGCAGUGAGGAAUAUUGGUCAAUGGGCUUACGCCUGAACCAGCCAAGUCGCGUGAGGGAAGACUGCCCUAUGGGUUGUAAACCUCUUUUGCCGGGGAGCAACGGGGUCCUUGCGAGGGCCCGAUGAGAGUACCCGGAGAAAAAGCAUCGGCUAACUCCGUGCCAGCAGCCGCGGUAAUACGGAGGAUGCGAGCGUUAUCCGGAUUUAUUGGGUUUAAAGGGUGCGUAGGCGGGCUGUUAAGUCAGCGGUAAAAUGUCGGGGCUCAACCCCGGCCUGCCGUUGAAACUGGCGGCCUCGAGUGGGCGAGAAGUAUGCGGAAUGCGUGGUGUAGCGGUGAAAUGCAUAGAUAUCACGCAGAACUCCGAUUGCGAAGGCAGCAUACCGGCGCCCGACUGACGCUGAGGCACGAAAGCGUGGGUAUCGAACAGGAUUAGAUACCCCAGUAGU